rnacentral:misc_RNA from 1 species
CUAGCGCUGCGGAGGGACGUGCACACGCAUAAGUGCCUUCAGCCGCUCCACGCACACGCACACCCUCCUCGUCCCCCUCCGCUCUGCCUCUCACUUGCCAGCACAACACACACGCACAAACUGUAUCAUGACGGAAAAGUCGCUCCUUCUGAAGUGUGACUUCGCUGGUCGUUACUUCAUGGUGGGCACUGACUUCCCCGCCGCACGCAUCUUCGACACGACGACCUCAUCCCUGGCCGCUGUUGUGGAAUUGCCCCUGCGCAGGCGCACAGUCUCGCUCGCUGCACUGACACUGACGUCUGUCGCGAUUCGCCAAGCGGAGGAGAACGAACCGCCGGCGUCAAGCGGGAAGGGCAGCUCGCUUGCCGGUAACCGCAGCGAGGCGCUUCUCGACAACAAGGUCGCCACAUAUUAUGCCGCCGUCGGCCUCAGCGACGGUACGGUGAUCCUGCACGAUGUUCGCCGCGACGUUCAGCUCGCCCAUGUGCAAGUGUCAGAGACGCAGCAGCCAAUCAUCUCGCUGCAGAUGUGUGGCGGGUACGCGUUCUGCUUGGCUGCCAACCACAUCCUGUACGUGCUGCACGUUCAGAACUCCACCUCAGGGCCGUGUCUUCGUCUGUGCGUGCAGUCCGAUGCGAGCUCGAUCGCGGUCACCACACUCACUGCUAUGGACACUGCGGCAGUGACGGCGCCCCGCACAGCAUCAAGCGCCACCAACUCGAAUCGCGUCUUUCGUGUGCUCGUCUCGGGGCCCACAAAUGCGCUGUACGAGAUGCGUGCGCUGGCGAACAACAGCAGCUGCAGCGGUGCCAUGGCCGGCUCGGCUACCGCCAACACGGCAGUCGCGCCGCAGGUGCACGCCACGAAGCUGCUGGCAUUUCCAUCGCAGGGAACGAGUGCCGAGUUUGCAUGGGUGAGCAGCGUGGCCCCGUCAGCUCUGCCUGCUGGUGGCGGUGGUGUGUCGGACACGCCCGUCUCGCUGCCGGCCAUCACGGCCAGCGCGCAGGAUGGCGUUGUGCGCGUCUGGGACGUGCGGUACACGCCACCGCCCUCCUCUGCCGCUGCCUCGCCCCUCACCACCGAUCUUGACAGCGUCGCUGCAUCGUCGUCGGCAAUGGUGGCGCGGUGCCGCCGAACGCUUCUGUGCGGACAGCGCAUCCUCAACGUGUCCGUGCUGCCCGACACGAUCAACGGCAGCCGUAAGGGCAACUACAUCAUGGUGACCACCCUAACCGGUUCGGUGCUGCUCUGGAGUCUCGGUGACGCUCUGCUGCCGCCAGUUGUGGAGCCGGUGCCACUGAAGCCUGAUGUGGUGCUCGUGUCUGCGGUGGCAGCUGGUCGGCUUCUCUUCGGUGCAUUGCGGCCGGCGUCUGGAGCACCCAGCCACGCCGCACCAUCAGACAGCCCGCUGCGUUCGCUGGAGAUGACCCUGUUGCGCGGUCGCUUCGCUCUGCCCCUGUUUGAAACCAAGAACGUUGGCGACGCCGUGGAGGAGGCCUCGUCCGCAGGUGCCGCAGCGCCGCCGGAGUCGGCGGCCACCACGGGCGCGGCCGUCGGAGCCCGCACGAAGGCGAGGGCGGCGAAAGCGAAUGCUGCCAACGCGCGACGCACGGCCCUCGCCACCCUCGCCCUCGGCGUGGCCGGCACGAAUGCCAGCGUCGCCACCGUCGUGGAGCUGCCGCUGAACGCGGCGCACGCCUCGUUGCUGGCAGACCAGCGCGACGCGGAGUACCUUCUCCAGCACACCACCGACGCGGCUACGAGCGCCUUCGUCGUUAUGGACACCGUCUGGGCAGCGCACCGGCAGCAGGUUGCCGCAAAGGCGAGCCAGUACAUGACGGACGCUUUCAAGGCGCCGCAGCUGUACCACGCCAAGUCCAUUCAGGACCUGCCAGUGAAGCAGUAUACACUCGAGCAGCGGCUGCAGCAGGUGGCCCGUGAAGAGGCGGCCGCCGCGCUGCGGCGGAGGCAACUCGCCACCGGCAGUGCAGUGGCCGCCGAGGGAGCAAGCGACGCCGACGAUGCCCUCGAGCAGCGCCAGGGAGGCGACACCAAGGCUGGUCGCAGUGUCAUGUCACACCACGCUCUCGGGCUCGCUACCGUGCCUCUGUAUCAGGCGCUGCACGCAAAUGACACGUCGGCUGUGAUGGACCUGUUAAGCAUGUCCGCUCGGUCCGCGGAGGGCAUGCGGGCGACGGUGCUUUCCCUGCAGCUCCCGUACUGCCUGCAGCUGCUGCAUGUCAUCUCGGAGCGUUUGGGGCUGUGCAGUAAGGCGGUCGAGAAGGUCACGCCAGCGUCGCAGUCUGGCGCGGGUGAUGGUGCAGAGUCGACGACCGCGUGUGCUACGGCUGAGCAGGACGGUCACGCCGUCGGCACCGUGAGCGGCAGCGCGACGGCCGACGCGGCGGCGCAGUCAGCAGACGCCUAUGGUAGCAGGGGCAGCGGUGCCGCGCUGCGCGGAGGCGUGGCAGCCUUUUCGAUUCGAUCCUCUCUUCUCGAGUGGAUCGACGCGAUUGUGCACUACCGCGGCAGCGAGCUGCUGGCGGUGCAGCGCGAUUGGGACGCGCGGGAGGCGGCCGGUCGGGCGAGCGAGACGACACCGCCGAUGGUGGCCUCUCCUCCCAAGGACUUCCUAGCCCCCAUCCUGCACCACUACGAAAGCUUGUGCAGCCAAUACGACAAGCUGGCUGUCCUGUAUGGGCGACUGUCGAUCUUUAAGUCCGUCCGGCCUUCACGGAAGAAUGAGUUCCUGAACAUUCCGCGGAAGUCGCUAUCCUCCAAUGUGGAGAUGGGGCGUCCAGUGCCAGCCGUCAACGGUGGCCUCGCCACUAGCAGCGACUCCAGCAAGCGACGCCUGCACCUCACCGGGCGGAGCAGCGUCGUCGAUGACGACAUCCUCUUCCCUGUAAUGUUCAAGGAGUCGCGCUCGCGGUCUGGCCCUCGAGUGGUGCGCGUCCGCAGCAAGCUCGAGAUAGAGAAGAAGCGGCGGCAGCGCGAGAGCAAGGGCGUGGCGUUGCAGAAGCGUGCCCGCGCGCUGGCGCGGGAGCAGCUGCGGAGCACCAAGGCUGCGCACAGCAUCCUCGACGACAACAGCGGCAUGAAGCGCGGCGGCCUUGAUGUCGUGGACCAGAUCAUGAUGGCCGAGAUGGCGGGCAAAGACGGCGAGAUGGACCUGGACGCGCUGGAGGCGAUGGACCUCGCUGACGAUGCGAGCGACGCGAAUAUGCCGAGCGACGUCUCCUUUGACAGCGAAGCGGGUGAAGAAGGUGAGGACUGGAGUGAGGAGGGGGCAGAGAGUGUCACUGCCGCUCGUGGCAAGAGCAAGAAAACCCGCAGGGAGGCCGUCGUCGCGGACCAAAUGCUGGCCGACGCCGCGGAUGAAGAGAGUGACGACGACCAAGACAAGGACGACGACGCGGCCCUCGACAGCAGCGAGGCCGAGUUCUCUUCGGGCAGCGAUGAUGACGUUGACUCCGACUCCCCGGAUGGCGACGAUGAAGAGAGUGAUGCCGAGGAAGACGAUGAAGAUGACGACGAGGCUCAAGAGAGCGGUGACGAUGACAAGACGCAGACGUCUGACGAACUCGACGAAGAGAACGAGGACGAUGGAAUGGGCGAGGACAUGCAGGAGCUGCUGAGCCGGCAUGAGGACGAUGCGGAUCGCUCAGAGCGUCGCAAAGCCAAGAAGGUGCGCACUGACUAAGAGAGAAAAGAGGGGCGAGAGAGAGAGAGAUGAACAGAGUCAAUUAGCUGAUCUUGGACUGUAUCCGGAACGAAAGCACCUAGCGAGCUCCUCUCCCUUUCCCUCCCCCCCCCCCACAUGUGUGCGUACCAGUAACCAAAUAACAGAUUAAGAUGAUGCGGUCGAAUAAGGCAGGAAAUCCAUACACUUAUAGGUGAAGUGCGAUACAAUGGCAGAACGGGAAUACUGAGCGCGGCGCCUCCUCUAUCUGCUCCUCCACAGUAUGUGAGUGCCGGUGUAUCUGUUCGUGAUGUGUUGGUAUCCGCGCUGUGCAGAGGUGCAUAGAUAUAUAUAUAUAUAUAUAUAUAUGCACGUAGGCGUAUGUUCGUAUGUGUGCGAGUGUGGAAAAGUCGGAGUGGGGCUGUGCUGGAUGAGGGACGUGGCCAGUGAGUGUGUGUGUGUGUCGAUAGAAGCAGCAGAUGAGCGGUACAGAUGCCUGUCUGUGGAACGCUGAUGGGCACCUUCUGUGCUACAUGUGAGUGAGUGUGCAUGCGGCUCGCCCUCUCUGCUUGUCUCUCCGCCCCACCCUCCUCCCUUCUUUUCUGGUUGGGCUCCUUUCUUGCACUUCGGCUAAUCCUGUUGGCGGCGGUGGCGGCGGUGGUGCCGACGAUCGUAAUGAGAUGCACGCUGUUGGUCUCUCCCGACUUCGCUCUCGUUCUAAGAGAAAUGAGACUCUCAUUCUGCCUUGUUUAGCUGUUGUUCAGCACGCACCACACACGCUCAGCAUUCGCAUGCGCGCGGAAACGAAAGGGAAGCACAGAUGCAGAGAGAGAAAGACAGGCAGUGACUGCGAGUCGAGUUAACGGGUGAAGAGGAGGUGCAGAUUUGUGGGGCUCUGCGUGCUACCAGUGAGCCAUGGCGAGCAGCCUGAGUGCAGGUGCAAACGUAUCCCCACGCGAGAGUCCUCUGUGAGAGAACGCGUUGUGUGUAGCGGCUCCGCCCUGCCACCGUCAGUGCCACUAAG